AGAUAAGCUUUUUACGCAUGCGCCUGCUUACACGUUUACAAAAUAUCCAACUAGCAGACGUCUCUGGCAGUUACAUUCAGCUGGAAGAUAAGUACAAAGCGAUCAUGCUGCAAUACGAGAAGAUCCGUCUCAUAAACCGGCACCAUCCAAAGAUGUAACACCAAAGAGGUAGAAUCGAGCCAAGAUGUCGCUUGCACAACGACGAGUUCGUAUACGUCAGAAGGAGGCUUUCUUGAAGCGUCAGGCAGCAGACGGCGAAGAUGAUGACUAGACACAGUGCAAGUAUUUUGUACUCGCGAGCUGCAAUGUCAAUUAAUAAACCAUAAUUGUUUG